UGAAAAUUUUGCAUCUUACACUUUGGUAGAGAGAGAACAGAAGGUUGGGAGAGAGCGUGAACCUAGAGAGAAAGUAAAGUGUUUCCCCAUACAACCUUCACCUAAUCAGUUGUCUGAGCAGAAGCGGCCGUUCACAAAAUUUGUACCGUUCACCGGACCGUCAAAUCUUGUCUGUUGUCGUUCCACCGUCGUUCCUCGGUUUCGAAGCUAACGAAAGCGCUCGGUAUUAGGACACAGUAGAUAACGCUUCUUAAGAUAAGCACUAUGACUAUCCUGUUUUUUUUUUCGUUUCGCUUUUUAGUGCUUCUUUUUCAUUUCGCUCCUUCGUGUUUCUUUUUCGUUUCGCUCAUUCAUGCUUCUCUUUCCUCCUUCGUGCUACUUUCGGCGUCAUUGCCUCAAGCACUAGAUAUAUAGUGUUUCGUUCGUCCACUGAGAUUCAGGGUAGAGGAUUCAAUGUACAAAUUAAUUAUGCUGAAGAACCUAUCCAAGACUACGUUCAGGCUGUUGUUUCAACGACACUCUUGAUACACGAGCGGGUAUUUUAAUCCCUUACAAUGAGAUGGAAUAAAUUCAAGUAAUGCAUUUUAUAUUUGAGGCAUUUUAAUCACUUCAGUUUAAUUACAUGUUUUGUUGCUUAGUGAUUACAUUAGACUUGAUCAUAGAUUUUAAACUGAGUGUUAUUUAUUUGAUACAUAUCAUAGUAACUGUAAUAUAAUUUUUGAAGAAUAUCCCUUGUAUUUUCUCAAAAUUUUAGAGAAGUUUCAUCAAUUUUUAUGACACUUAUUGUCUUUUUUAAAAUUUUAUACAAGUUGUUGUUUGUUUAUGAAGAAUUUAAAACAUUGAAAUUUUCAAUAUUUAUUGGGUUGAUAGUUUCCUAGUCAUGGUACUGUAUGAAUUUUAAAUUAACAUGCUUUUCUGUAUUUUCUUCAUUAUUUCAAUUUAUUAUAAUUUUCCUAGUCAUUUUGGUUGAUUCUAGCUGCCAUCCUAGUAAUUUUAUUUUUAGAAGUGUUCCCUUCACUCUUUUUUUCCACCUUACGCUGAUUUCUAAGAUGUCUUCAAGUGUAAUUUUCUUUCAUGCUUAGUAACAGAUUUCUGAUAUUGAAAAUUUGGUUGUGGCUCCAAUAUCUAGGCCUCUAUUAGACAAAGAGCUGGUAGGGGUCGAUGAGUUUGACCAGGAAAGUGUUACAGGUGUUGUUUCAAUUAUUUACUAAAAAUGUUUUUCUAUAAAAUAUGAUUUGUUAUCCUAGUUGCCUCUUGCUUAUGAUACAAGAGAUUGACUCUGAUAUCGAGUUAUGGAAGGUGACUGUUGAUCUAUAAUCAUCUUCUUAUCUAUGUAAUGACAACAUGCUUUACAACAUUCACCUUUUAAAACAUUUUUAUUAUAUAUAUUUGUUACUGUUGACUCAUCAUUAUUCUUUCAUGAUCCAUUCCCUGAUUAAGUUCCCUCUUCUUGCUAUGUUAUUUUGUCUAGAUUUCAGUUUGAUUGUUGUUUUAAAUUUACAUGAUAUGUUUGCAUUAUAUGAUGUUCUUACUUGAGGUUAUACACUUGGUCUUAUGUUCUAAUGUGUUACUAACACAACCAUUAGUUGCCUGAUUAGUCAUCGACACAGUGGCUUCAUAUUACUUUAUGUUCACAUAUCUAUGAUUUAAUUGCCUUUUUUCUCUUAGUAAUUAGAAAGUGCUUAAUAUGGUGUAUUGACCAAUCUCUUAACCACUCUUGUUUACAAAAUCUUUCUUUAUAUAAAUGAUUAUGUUAAAAUUUGCAAUUAUUUUCGGUGUGAUCAUAUUCUUUCAUACGACUUGGGAAUGAAAUUUCUUACAUAUGAAAGGAGUGAGCUCAAAUUUUCAUACCACAGACCAGUGACGGUCACAUACAUGGUAGAGGUUGAGAUUGAAAGCCCUGAAUUUGAUUGAUGUAGAGAUUGAAAACGAAGAAGUCAUGACAAAUUUAGUUAUAGUUGAAAUUUGAACAUAUGUGAGGAAAAUUUGAUGGGAAAAUUUAUGUAUCCUUAUAAAAAUAAACAGAAUGCAGAUAUAUGUUAGAUAAGUGACAAGUAUUUUCCAUAUUUAGUUGUAUGGAGAGAUGAUUGCAAUUGCAACAUGCAAAUAGGUGAUGCAUAAGAUAAACUUUCUUGUGUUAUCUUAUUAUUAGUAAAAAAGAUUUUGGUAUAAUUGUGAGAAAAUUUUAUAGUUUUUUUGUUGUUAUCAAAUAUGAGUAUGAUAUUGAUGAAUUAUAAUAUCUAAAU